rnacentral:lncRNA from 1 species
UUUGCCAUAGACAAUACAUGGGAUCAAGUUGUUAUUGUUGGGAGGAGUUUUGGAGGUACGUUUUAAUUAUUGGUUUCUAUUAAAUUGUUGUGGAGAAGCAUGAUUGUAAUAGAAGUAGAAAUCAAAGAUUUUACAUAAAUAUGCUGACAGUGAAUUAUUUCAGAAAUCAUAGUAAUUUGUACAAAUUGAUUUUGAUUCUGAUUUUUGGGUAUGUUAAACUAGAAAUCGUCUAUAAUGUUUUAAAACUUGUUUCAAGUUAAUCGGAUAAGAUUUCAAUUAAUUAUGAUUUUUCAAAUUCAAGUCUGAAAACCUGGAAAUUUAUGAUUUCAGUGAACAACGUGAAUUACGAAAUUAUUUUACCAUAGUUAGACUUCUUCAAAAAUUAUGAAAUUUGGACCAAUGAUUUUUAUAUAUGUCUAGUAUGAUUCUGGAAAUUUUCAUGAUUUUAUGAUAAAGAAAUAGAUUGUUUUGUAUUUUUAAAGCAAGUGUGUUCAAAACAGAAAACUGUUUGACAGUAUUGAUGAUGUCUGAACCGUGAAUUAUUUUCAAUCGUUUUGGAAGGAAUUAUGUUAUGAAAUUUUUAUCAAUGAACUUUCAAUGUGUCAGCAUAUGGUCUGUAAAAUUUGAGAUUCUUCCAAUAAGAGAAUAAUUUAUUAAAAAUCGGAGAAGUAUGAACUGUUAUGUUUUGAGGGCCGAUUAUUGAGGACAUUUGAGGUUGAGCUUAGGAGUUGUUUAAAUUGAGAUAUUUGAGGACAUUAGAGUUUAUGAUUGAGAUUUGAUUAUAUCUUAUUAGAAUUUAUUGAUGAUUUUAGGUUGAUGGUAUCAGUACGCAUUUGUUACAUGAGGAUGCCAAGAGGUAUGUAAACUAGACUUUAAAACGAAUCACACUAAACAAUAUACAUGUUUGACUUGUGUGAAAAGCCUAUUUUGAUAUAUAUACGGAUAUGGAUUUAGAUGUCUCUGCCCAUGUGUUUAUGUGAUGUGUUGGCAUGUGUUGGGCGUGAUUAUGUACAUGGGCAUAUGUAUGUGUGAUGGUUCAUUGGCAUGAGCACGAAAAUGCAUUGAGUUUUCUAUGAAUGAGAAAGUGGAUUUUAGCAAACGGAAUUUCUGUUUUAUGAGAUUUUGCAUUGGGGGCCACCUCUUGAAGUUGUGUGUGGGCCACCUCUUGAGGGCCAGAGCGCCGCAAAGUGCCACGCAUGGUGCAAAGUGCCACGCACAGCACAAAGUGCCACAAUUGCAGAAUAUGUAUUUCAUCGAAAGAAAAUGAAAAAGUUUGAAAGCGACAAAAAGAGAUUUUUAUGAAAUUAUUUUACAGUAUUUCUAAAAGAUCAUGGCAUAUCAUCCAUCUGCAUUAUGUAUAAGUAUGUAUGUACUUUCGUAUAAGAAAAACUUGUUUACUUACUGAGUUUUAUACUCAUUAUAGUUUAUUGUGAUUUAGUUUUCAGAAGUCAGGAUUGAUUCGUGAUGAGUGACAAGUUGAAGAUGGUAGAUGGUUUGACUAAAUUUUUAAGUUAUUCCGCUGGCUUUUGUAUUUGAGACUCGAAUUUUUAUUGUUUGUAAAGAGUUAUUUAAAUCAUAUGUGAGUUGUGGACAUAUUUGCC